ACAGUAUGUGAAUCCGAAAACGGUUGGAGUAGAAGCCUAGGGGCAUCCCAGGGAGGUGCAGCAGGUUCCGCGUUACGGCCGGGGCAGAUAUGUGGGGCAGUUGGGCCCAAGUGAGGGGAGAAAUUGCGUCCAAAGCAGAGAACGGGAGGGCAACAGUGCCUCCACCAAGAGAGGUCUACCAUGGAUCUCCACGGAGGUGGAACCGCAGGUCCUAAAGGGACAGCUCCUGCGGAUGCAAGAGGUGCCGAGUCAAGAAUAAUAACAGCAGACAGGCCAGAGGAGGAAGACGGUGACCUCACCCCAAAAGUGAUGCUAACAGAAAACAGAUAAGUUUUAAGAAGAGUGACGUUGGGAAGCUCCACCCAGUCUCGCUCCUCCCAUUCCAGACCCCGCCCCUGAGGAACCCUGCAGUCAGCAGCUCCUCCCCUUUAGAUGCUCAAGACCAUGCCUAUAGGCUAUUUAAGGGGCGUACCUGCUGGGGGGGUGGCGGAGAAGAAGAGUUCAUCAGACCCCCUGGAAUUGCAGUUAACGGACAAUUGUGAACAGCCACAGAGGUCCUGGGAAUUGAACCCCGAGUUCUCUGGAAGAGGAGUCAGUGUUCUCAACCACUAAGCCAUCUCUCCAGUCCUGAGAGUCAACCUUAGCUGGGCGGUGUUAAUGGUGGUGUAUGCCUUUAAUCCAGUAGAUGCAGGCCAGUCUACAGAGUAAAUUCCAGGACAACCAGAGGGUACUUA